rnacentral:rRNA from 1 species
CAAUAGCGUAUAUUAAAGUUGUUGCAGUUAAAACGCUCGUAGUCGGAUUUCGGGGCGGGCCUGCCGGUUUGCCGAUGGGUAUAUACUGGUGGGUGCGUCCUUCCUUCCGGAGACCGCGCCUCCUCUUAACUGAGCGGGCGUGGGAGACGGAUCGUUUACUUUGAAAAAAUCAGAGUGUUUCAAGCAGGCAUUUCGCUUUUGCAUGGAUUAGCAUGGGAUAAUGAAAUAGGACUUUGGUGCUAUUUUGUUGGUUUCGAGCACCGAAGUAAUGAUUAACAGGGACAGUCAGGGGCACUCGUAUUCCGCAGAGAGAGGUGAAAUUCUCAGACCCGCGGAAGACGAACCACUGCGAAAGCAUUUGCCAGGGAUGUUUUCACUGA